CUUUAAGCAUCAGGAAAUAAUGUUGAGACUUGAAAAGCCAGAUCGCAGACUCACUUCUAACAUAGGAAAAGCUCAUCAGAAAGUGCUUAUAUCCAGCUAUGGUGUAAGAUAAUGCCAAUGUUUAGAAUUAUCCAAGAGUGCUCUUUGUUUAUAAAAAAUAAUCCCAAUUAUCUUACUUCUGUAUUGGUUUCCAAUGCUUUUUCAGUUUUUCAUAAAACAGGACUGAUUUUUUUUUCCUCCAGUAUUGACCUUCUCUUUAUUUCUAGAUGCCCAGAUGAGCAAAGAAAAUACCACUGAGGAAUGUGCGUUACUUGACUGGGCAGAGUCUACCCACAGUAGCCAAAUGAUUUUGUGUUAAAUGUCAUCCUUUGUCACAGGCUAUCUUUUCCUCUACAAAAGUCUGAAGCCCCUGAACUGGACGAAUGGAUAAAAGCAUUUUAAAGAAAGGGGCACUGAUCUAAUAAUGCCUUUGGCAGAAGAAGUUCAGUGUUAGUUUGAAGUGAAAAAUAAAGCAACCUGUGACGGAGCCUGGAAUCAUCUUGCUAAGAGAGUUUUUGAUUGUCGUUUAUUGUUUGUUUGUUUAUAUAUCCGAGCUUUGUUUAUUAGCUGUUAUGUGACUUAGUUCGGACACAAACAGCAGAUGGACAUUGAAAAUGGUCCAUACUAAAGCUAACGUAAGCCUACAUUUCUUUUUCCCUUUUCUUUUUUGUGUCUGACUUUUUAAGGAACUUUUGAACCAUUCUCCACAGAAGCAGCACUCUUAUAGGUUCCCACCAGCAGUAUAUGUGAGUUCCAACUUCUCGACACCCUCAACAUACGUUACUGUCCUUUUU
rnacentral:lncRNA from 1 species